rnacentral:rRNA from 1 species
CCUACGGGCGGCAGCAGUGAGGAAUAUUGGUCAAUGGGCGGGAGCCUGAACCAGCCAAGUCGCGUGAAGGAAGACGGCACUUAGUAUUGUAAACUUCUUUUGUCGGGGAACAAAGGCGGAGACGCGUCUCCGUAUGAGUGUACCCGAAGAAAAAGCAUCGGCUAACUCCGUGCCAGCAGCCGCGGUAAUACGGAGGAUCCGAGCGUUAUCCGGAUUUAUUGGGUUUAAAGGGAGCGUAGAUGGGUUGUUAAGUCAGUUGUGAAAGUUUGCGGCUCAACCGUAAAAUUGCAAUUGAUACUGGCAGCCGUGAGUAGAGUAGAGGUAGGCGGAAGUCGUGGUGUAGCGGUGAAAUGCGUAGAUAUCACGAAGAACUCCGAUUGCGAAGGCAGCUUACUAAACUGCCACUGACAUUGAUGCUCGAAAGUGUGGGUAUCAAACAGGAUUAGAUACCCGAGUAGUC